rnacentral:rRNA from 1 species
AACGCGAAGAACCUUACCUGGGCUUAACAUCCACUGACAAUUGCAGAGAUGUGAUGUUCCCUUCGGGGACAGUGAGAUAGGUGCUGCAUGGCUGUCGUCAGCUCGUGUCGUGAGAUGUUGGGUUAAGUCCCGCAACGAGCGCAACCCUUAUCCCUAGUUGCCAUCGGGUCAAGCCGGGCACUCUAGUGAAACCGCCCAGGAUAACUGGGAGGAAGGUGGGGAUGACGUCAAGUCCUCAUGGCCUUUAUGUCCAGGGCUACACACGUGCUACAAUGGUCGGUACAAACCGUCGCAAACCCGCGAGGGGGAGCUAAUCGGAAAAAGCCGGCCUCAGUUCGGAUUGGAGUCUGCAACCCGACUCCAUGAAGCUGGAAUCGCUAGUAAUCGCGGAUCAGAACGCCGCGGUGAAUACGUUCCCGGGCCUUGUACACACCGUAGAGAC